rnacentral:rRNA from 1 species
AUUAAACGCUGGCGGCAUGCCUUACACAUGCAAGUCGAACGGCAGCGGGGGAGAAGCUUGCUUCUCCUGCCGGCGAGUGGCGAACGGGUGAGUAAUACAUCGGAACGUGCCCUGUAGUGGGGGAUAACUAGUCGAAAGAUUAGCUAAUACCGCAUACGACCUGAGGGUGAAAGUGGGGGACCGCAAGGCCUCAUGCUAUAGGAGCGGCCGAUGUCUGAUUAGCUAGUUGGUGGGGUAAAGGCCCACCAAGGCGACGAUCAGUAGCUGGUCUGGGAGGACGAUCAGCCACACUGGGACUGAGACACGGCCCAGGCUCCUACGGGAGGCAGCAGUGGGGAAUUUUGGACAAUGGGCGAAAGCCUGAUUCAGCAAUGCCGCGUGUGUGAAGAAGGCCUUCGGGUUGUAAAGCACUUUUGUCCGGAAAGAAAUGGCUCUGGUUAAUACCUGGGGUCGAUGACGGUACCGGAAGAAUAAGGACCGGCUAACUACGUGCCAGCAGCCGCAGUAACAC